CAAAGUGAGUAUUCGGCCGACCAAAAUGGAUUCGCUCAGCCGAAAUGAAUUCGCUCGACCGAAGUGAAUUCGCUCGACUCAAUGUUCGCUUCAAACCACCACGAAGCCGCAAACCACCACGAACCAACACCGUACGAAUGAGCGAACCCAGAGAGAGAGGGAGAGAGCGUUAUGAAGGGUAUAAUAAACAGUAUAACAAUUUAGAAUUGCAAUAUGUAACGCAACUGUCGGGGCUGUAUAAGGAGCAGCCAUAAAGGAUCAUUGCUCUACGCAGGAAUUACGACGUCCCGUCUAUAGCGAUGACGACAACAGAGAAGAGGAAGACGACAGCAGGCAACGGUAGACAGAGCAUCUUUCAGAUGCAGGAAUAAAGCAGAUGGAAUAUCCACACUGUGUUAAUGGAUUUUACAACAUUGAAUGAAAUAUUUUAAAAAUAAUUAAUAAUUACAAUGUUUAUUAACUAAAAUUCACCAAAACACCUAUGUAGGCCUGUUCUCGUUUUCGUUUUAAUCAUUUUUUUUUGUUAUCAAACUGUUUCUUAACUUUUUCCUCAUAAAUAUUUGAAUUUCAAUAGAUUGCAAAUUAAACCGAAUUAUACAAGUUAGAAACCUUCACUUUUUCUAUGUAUAUUUUCUAAAUAUUGUGAAAUAAAAAAUACAUAGACACUUAAAGUGAAACAUCACGUUAAAAUUAUUAGAGUAACUCUAAAUU